ensembl:lncRNA
CCCACUGCUUAAAAUAACUGUGCUUAGCUUCAAAUCGCAUACACAUACUUCUUAUUAAUGGACCAAGAGAUAUGAUUUGGCUUGGUAGAUGUAACAUGUAAUGUUGCUUGGGUAUUACAUUGGCUUCAGAGAAAAGUUCUUUGAAAUGAUGCAGAUGUUGCUCAAUCAUGCGUCUGAGCCGUAAUACGGUUUCUAAAGAAAUAACAGGAGCAAGGACAAUUUGAACAAUCUCAAUUAACUUGAGAAUAAAUUUGACAUACUCGUUGUCCAUACCGUUCAAAAGAAAAGGUAGGAUUUUUAAAAGUAUCAACAUUUGUCCACAUGACUGCUUUAAUUUAUUGUCAUUAGCAGCAAGUACUGACACUAAUAGGACAUGGCUUAUCUCUUAUGUCUAGAGGUGAGUAAGGAAAAUUUAGAAUAGCUGAGUUAAUCUCAUCUAAUUCUAUCUGUCCUGACAGAAUCAGGUUUUUUAAUACAAGCUUUAUUUCCAUUGGUGCAACACCUUCAAAAAUUACAUGCAUUAUAUCCUGUGGUGUUUGUUUGAUCAGAUCAAAUGCUGGAACAUCAACUAGUCUGCUUCUUCUGUUAAUCCCAUAAGUGGUUUUGAGGGAUGCUUUCAAUGUUUCUGUGCUUGCCUUAUCUAUUUCAACACACUGCCUAAUGUGCUUUUCCAAAGUUCUUUCAGCAAACCUAUUCUCCUCAAAAAUACUUUGCAUAUCCUCAAAGGAGCAUUCACAAUGUCUACAUUUGCUAUAAGCAAAACCAACACCUUGUUUAAAUCCAGCAAUAUCAUGUUGGGCAAGUGUGUCUCCACAUAUGGCGAUCACAGCACCAAACAACUCAAUUUCACCAUUUGGGGUGUCAAUCCUAACACCAUUGUACAGAAGUGUCAGAUCUUUUUGGAUUCUUUUUAGUAUAACAUCAACACCCCACUGAGAAAUAUUGUUUGCCUUGGCAAUAGCCAGGAGUCUUAUUGCAGCCAACUUCGACCUAAAUUUUGGAUCUAUAUUCCCUAAACUAUAAUAAAACCUCAGUAAUUUAUUUGCAGAGGCAUGGGCGCCUAAAGGGUUACAUAUUUCAAUUUCAUCGGUGUACAAUAGUAUUUGCAAUGCAUUUGGCCUUUGAGAAUAUAAUGGAUGGGAUGUAAAAAGGGCUCCAUCAGUAAAAUCAUACAAGAAUCCCUCACUUCUUUGUGGUACAGUGGUUAAGUACAUGGUGAAGAUUCUGGGAUUGGUCAGUAACUGCUUAAGACUUUGAAUGAGUGGUACAUAGUAAAAACUUUUGCCUCUUAAGGCCAUGACCCUUGAAAGACCACGCUUUACCCAACAAAUCUUCUGGGACACCACAACUUCCUCUGGGUUGACUGGAUUGAAUAGUUCCCGGAUGGUUUUAUUCUGUCCAUAUGCUGUGGUUGAGAAAGGAUCCAUGAACGCAUCAAACGUAGCCAAAGCCUCCCCUUGGAGCUGAGCAGUUGUGUCUGGAUUCUCUUCAAACACCCUUCUGAUUCUCUCCCUUAGUGUGUCAAUGAGAGCAGCUUGGUACUGUUGCACCCCUGAGAUGACACUGUUGACAGUUCUCUGGGAAAAUAUUUAAAAUGUAAAUAAUUUUGUCACCCAUAUAAUUCACAGGCCCAUAUUUUACAUUAGAAUAAUUUAAAUUAAUUGUACCAUUAAAGCAUUUGCCCAUGAAGAUAAAUUUACCUGUGAUAACUGGCACUGUUCCCGGACACUGAUGGCGAAUGCCGCUGCGGAUCUAGCUAUAUCAGGUCUGGUUCUGGAGGUCACAGCAACAGCGUCUUCCUUUAUAAAAUGAGUUGUAAUUUUUUAAGAGCGAGUAGAUGGACACAGUCAAAGUUGCAAUUGAUUUGAAAGGAAAUGGACAUUUUUGAGGAGAUGCCCGAGAGGGGAAAGACUUCAUUUUAAUCCCGUAUUCGCAGCUCUAUCGUCUAAGGUAAGAGGAAUUAAAUGUUUUUUUUAAUGUUUAAUCUUAGCAUUCAAUGGAGAUAAUACCUAUGAAAGAGAAAGUGUGCAUAGGCUACUCAAAUCAUGCAUGAUUAACGCGCACACUCGCAGUGUGGAUUCAAUGAGGCCCAUAUUUAAAUAUAUCGUUAUAUGUAGGACAAAAAUAUUAAAUUACAUAACAAGUCAGCAUCACACAGAGAGCAACCUAAUUGGCACGAUAAGAUUGAAAAUAAAUUGAAUUGUGGAAACUUACGGACUCAAGGCGGCCGUCAGCUUCAGGCUGUGGUGACGGUUCAGGUAAAGAGGCAUCAGGUGGGACAGCCGUAGUGCUGGCCGCUGCAGGAGUGCUACAGCUGGAAAACACCGAAACACCAAAUGUUUCCUGUCCCAAAGACCGAGAAGAAGGCGUCGUACUCCAUCCGCUUGGUGGGCAUCCAGUCCUCAAAUACUGAAGGUGCGUCCGUUUAAUGUGGCGAAAGAAAGAGUUAAAAACUCUAAAGUCCUGUUCACAUCCAUCAAUACCACAGUAAACCCCAAAAUCCGGGCUGCGACUGUGACUUUUAUUAAUGUGGCUAAGGAGUACUUUAAGACUUAAAGCAACAAAGACGAAACAUAUCAUACACCUCCACGCCGCCAUGAUGCACCGUUGUUGUCGCGGGCUAAUGAUCCAGAGGUGGAUGGGGAGGGGGGCACUCAUGAAAUAAUUUGUUAUUAUUUUAACAAUACAUUCCUCUAAUUAUAAAUGCGACUUAAUUAAUUUUACGAUGGUAAGUUUUUAAAAAAUAAUAUUUUGCUAACAUGUUCAUGUUUACGUCCGAUCAUUUCUGCGCAUCCUCAGUUCAUGUCCUCCAACGGUCCCACCUCAAUGACGUCAGUGUUCGCGGUUCACCGCUUGAGUAACUGAAAGAUUUGGGUGCGUUACAUUUGACGAAGAAGUGCAAGAAGAGCGGCUCAAUUUCUACGGUACCGCCUGUUAAUGCUUCAGGGAGCUGAUGAAUCUAAGAUGGAUACUUUUGACGAUGCCACUCUAUCGGUGUUGGAGGGUGCCAGUGUUGAUGAGGAGGCUUUGAAAGGCCUUAGCCGGGAUGACCUGAGGGAUCUUUUUCCUGGCCCAGAGAAUUUCCUCAAAAGAAAGAAACUUUGGAAUUUCAUCAGUGAAAAUUGUGAAAAUACCACGGACCAAGAUGCCAACAAUUGUGCCAUGCCACCAUGCCAGCCUCAAACCUCAACCCCCAUAUCUGCUGAGAAAAAAAUGAAAAUGCCAGACCCUCCAGAGUAUGUGGUGUACACAGAUUCAGAGUUAGACAUGGUGCGUAGUCAAUACUUUGCACUGCUCUGCAAUGGAAAGGAAAAAAAUUACAAACUGUCCAAGGAGCUAUGUUGCAGACUUGUAAGGAACACAAUAACCAGUAUGGUUGCUAUCCUGCGUGCUAGUCCCAUGGGGAAAGAAGUCAGUUACCCGUCAAAAUUGGAAAUAAGAGCCAUGUCACAGAAGAUUAUAGACUAUUACCCAAUGUUACGGGAUGAUGAUCCAAACAUGCCUUAUCUGACUAUCUACACCAAAAUGUACAAGCGACUCCAAAAUAUGAGAUCCCCACGGAAGAGGCAAGGCUCUGUACCACAAAGAGGAGUGGCAAAGACAGCUCUCUUCAGUGCAGACAACCAAGACAUGGAGACGGAUUGGACAGACACAAGCAACUCAAGUGAUAAUACCUUACUUCUUGAGAGCAAUGAUGACCUUACCGAGGACAACUCCAGUGAAGCAUUCCCAGCACAUCGACCCCCCUCUGUGCCAAGGAAGCCAAAGACCAAAACCUUCCUGCUGCCAUCCGCAUCAGCCUCAGGCUCCUCACUCAGGACUGUGAUCGCUUCACCAACCACGCCUGCAAAGGAUGAUGUUGGCAAUGGAUGAGCUGCGGUGCAUAGUAGGUGGCACCAACAGCAGAUACAUCGAGGAAGUGAAAGGAAGAUGGGCAGACUUUUGUGCCAAGGUGCAGUUCUAUGGUGUGUGGAAGAAAGCCCUGAAACCCCCCUUUCCAUUGGAUGUCCGUGGAGUGGAGUUCACGCUUGCCCUCUUCAAUGCACUCCCAUCCCUUUUCCCCUCACCAACUUCACCACCAAAGAAGCUUGGAAAUAGCUGUGAGGCACUUCUUCAUGUCCUGAAGUCAGGCGAAGACCCUGCCCUGUACCUGGAAAAGCAUCCUCUCUCCUCCCCAGUUCUGCUUUCUGAUGGCUCAACCACCAUUGUGGCUGUGGGUAAUGUACCUGUGACCACCCUCCCUCAGGAAGAUUUCUCAGACGGGAUGUUGGUGUUAAUGGCAUAUUACUACACUUUGCACUUAAGAUAUCCAAAAUGUGUUGCAACGCUCCUGUCAGUUAUUCAAACAGAGGUAAUUGGUGACACAAUCCACGAUCAAGAUGCCACUAGUGCUUACAGGAAAGCAAUGGCUGAUUGGAAGUCUUUCAUUGAG